CCAUAUGAUGCUCGUUAUGAGGUAAUCAUAUAGGCUAGAUACCGUGAGUUAACGAGGUCGUUUACAUGCACGUGAGUGCACGGAUAUCGGUUAAUUAUUCAAAUGACUGAAAAACACGGAGAAAACCGCAACCGCAUCGUCAUGUGUUUUUUUUUUUAGAUGUAUGCAAACAGGGAAAAUAUCGCCAAACCAACAAUUCAUUUUACCUCAGAAUAUGCACAGAUUGGAUGCAUUGUGUGUUGUAAGCUUUUCGUGGCGCUAGAUGUCAGACAGAUGCAAAUAGCAAAUACAUACGAAAGUGUAAAACGUGUAUGGCGAACAUUUGUUUUUCUGUCAUUAUAGAUGCUAGUUUGGUGAAAGUACACACUGAGUGCUUCAAAUCAUUCAGAAGAGAUGCUGUUUUUAGGGCAGUUUAUUAAAGAAGACCUGACAUGGAUGACUUCCAAUGAGAAACGACUGCUAAUACUUAUAUAAAUUCAUUACAGAAGGACCCUACCAGACUAUAUUUGAAUACGGCAUACCCGUGAAUUCUGGAACUGUUAUUCCUUAACCCAGUUUGGAGGAUAAGAGCUUACCAACUAUAAAUAUGCUGAGGUGAUGUAUUGCAAAAUAGCCAACAUACAACAAUUAAAGGAUAAUUGCAGCCUAUAUCCUGAUGAAGAUAUGGAUGACCCUCUGUCUGGUCAACAGGAGUUCAAAUAUGGAUGGGACAGUUAUGUGGCAGCUCUUCCCUGGCUCAUUCACCUCUUGCCUUCAUUUGUGAAAGGAGGAAAGACUGGAGAGGGUCAAUGUGCAACUGAAGCUACUGAUUGUGCUGUGUAAGUUUUUUGGUAUUUUGUUCUAGUUAUUUAUUCAGCAGUUAGUUUGCUUGCAUUGUUCACCCCAUGUAAAUGCAUACAAGUUCAUAAAUACACAUCAAAUACAUUCAUCAAAUACACUCUUUUAAAACACUUAGGUGAUGAGCAUCAAUCCAUGCUUUGAGGGGGAUGAAUCAGCACACCCCUGCCUGCUCUGCGUUGGGAACAAAAGUUGCAUCUAGAAUUUUUGCAUCAUUCUGGACCAAAAAGCCAUUCCCUCCAUGAUGAAGACCACUGAUGCAACCUUCCACUACAUCAUGAGUAAAACAACUACAGAACUUAAUACCAGGUUGGAACGUAUUUAAGAAAAAUGAAACGUCUUUUGAAUUGAAAUGUCUGUUUUGUUAUGGAAAAAUCUUUAGUAUUGUGAAGGAUAAGCAUUUCUGCUUGCCGAUAAGGUAAUUGCAUGUAUUUUAAUGUUCAAGUUUUGAGUAGGGUGGCUAAUUUUUUUAACUCUUAUUUGAUUUAUUAAAGACCUUUAUAAUAAGUGGUUUUCAUGUCACUGCGCUGUGGUAUAAGAUAACUUUCAUUAUUCCGUACUGUAUUCUGUUUCUAAUUGUAGCUGAGGUAUUUAAAUAAGCAGUGUUAAAUGCAAAGUGUUGUGUGUAUCAAUGUAAAUAUUAAAUGUGAUUUACUU